UCCGAAGGGGGCUAGCGUUGUUCGGAAUCACUGGGCGGAAAGCGCACGUAGGCGGAUUGUUAAGUCGGGGGUGAAAUCCUGAGGCUCAACCUCAGAACUGCCUUCGAUACUGGCGAUCUUGAGUCCGGAAGAGGUUGGUGGAACAGCUAGUGUAGAGGUGAAAUUCGUAGAUAUUAGCUAGAACACCAGUGGCGAAGGCGGCCAACUGGUCCGGAACUGACGCUGAGGUGCGAAAGCGUGGGGAGCAAACAGG
rnacentral:rRNA from 1 species